AUACUUACCUGGCAAAGAAGAUACUUGAUCAAGAAGUCAUUUUCCUAAUGGGAACUCAUCAUUGGGCUUGGGAUGUGUUGAAGACUUUGGUUUCUCCAAAUGUGAGAACCUGACUGCAUUAUUAGUGAUGGUGGGAACUGUGUUUGUGGUCUCUAU